rnacentral:rRNA from 1 species
AGAGUUUGAUCAUGGCUCAGGAUGAACGCUGGCGGCGUGCCUAACACAUGCAAGUCGAGCGAGAAAGUUCUUCGGAAUGAGUACAGCGGCAGACGAGUGCGUAACACGUGAGAACCUACCCUUUAGUGAGGAAUACCCUCGAGAAAUCGAGGUUAAUACUGCAUACGUCCGGUAUAGAAAUAUAUUGGAGAAAGAUGGCUUUAUGCUGUCGCUAAAGGAGGGGCUUGCGGCCUAUCAGCUAGUUGGUGAGGUAAUGGCUCACCAAGGCUAUGACGGGUAGCCGACCCGAGAGGGUGACCGGCCACGCUGGAACUGAGACACGGUCCAGACUCCUACGGGAGGCAGCAGUGGGGAAUCUUGCACAAUGGGCGAAAGCCUGAUGCAGCGACGCCGCGUGAAGGAUGAAGGUCUUCGGAUUGUAAACUUCUGUUAAACGGGAGAAAAGACUUGUGCCUAAUACGCACAGGGAAUGAUAGUACCGUUAAAGAAAGCACCGGCUAACUUCGUGCCAGCAGCCGCGGUAAUACGAGGGGUGCAAGCGUUAUCCGGAAUUAUUGGGCGUACAGGGUGCGUAGGCGGCUUAUUAAGUCAAUUGUUAAAUCUCCCGGCCUAACUGGGAACCAGCAAUUGAUACUGACGAGCUAGAGGAUGGAAGAGAGAAGCGGAAUUCUCGGAGUAGCGGUAAAAUGCGUAGAUCUCGAGAGGAACACCGAUGGCGAAGGCAGCUUCUUGGUCCAUUUCUGACGCUGAGGCACGAAAGCGUGGGGAGCAAACAGGAUUAGAUACCCUAGUAGUCC